GGCGUAUUUUGCACAGGCGGAGCUCGACCGCCCGUUUCGCAAAUGAUGGAUUUCAUUGCGGAAAGCCGAGAGACACUUGGGGUCGAGCCAAUCUGCAGGGCGCUGCAGUUUGCCCCU
rfam:Octadecabacter antarcticus 307, complete genome.